rnacentral:rRNA from 1 species
CGGCGGACGGGUGAGUAACACGUGGAUAACCUACCUAUAAGACUGGGAUAACUUCGGGAAACCGGAGCUAAUACCGGAUAAUAUAUUGAACCGCAUGGUUCAAUAGUGAAAGCGGUUUUGCUGUCACUUAUAGAUGGAUCCGCGCCGCAUUAGCUAGUUGGUAAGGUAACGGCUUACCAAGGCAACGAUGCGUAGCCGACCUGAGAGGGUGAUCGGCCACACUGGAACUGAGACACGGUCCAG